AUGGCUUUAUGUUUCACCAGUUCAAACUAUAACAUCACUGAAAUUACCAAUAAGAUCCUUCCUUUUCUUAUUAAUCUCAUACUUGGUGUUUACAUUUAUGUUUGUGCUGUUUUGAAUGUUUCAACGGUAUUCAGAUUCCAAAAUAGAUCAUUCUUAUCAUUGCACUUUGAGUAUAUCCCAUUGUCAACGCCUUUUGAUUAUGUUAUUCGGUUCAUGGUUCCAACAAGGAUGUUGGAUCUAAGGCAUUUCAAGUUAUUGAUUAUUUCUUACAGAUAG